GUCCAGACUCCUACGGGAGGCAGCAGUGGGGGAUAUUGCACAAUGGGGGAAACCCUGAUGCAGCGACGCCGCGUGGGCGAAGAAGUAUUUCGGUAUGUAAAGCCCUAUCAGCAGGGAAGAAGAAAUGACGGUACCUGAGUAAGAAGCACCGGCUAAAUACGUGCCAGCAGCCGCGGUAAUACGUAUGGUGCAAGCGUUAUCCGGAUUUACUGGGUGUAAAGGGAGCGCAGGCGGCACGGCAAGCCUGAUGUGAAAGCCCGCGGCCCAACCGCGGGACUGCAUUGGGAACUACCGGGCUGGAGUGCCGGAGAGGUAGGCGGAAUUCCUAGUGUAGCGGUGAAAUGCGUAGAUAUUAGGAGGAACACCAGUGGCGAAGGCGGCCUGCUGGACGAUGACUGACGUUGAGGCUCGAAAGCGUGGGGAGCAAACAGGAUUAGAUACCCGAGUACUU
rnacentral:rRNA from 1 species